GACGAACGCUGGCGGCGUGCCUAACACAUGCAAGUCGAGCGGGGAUUUACGUGGAAGUUCUUCGGCAUGGGUAUUUAACUUCUAGCUGCGGCCUGGUGAGUAACGCGUGAACAAUCUGUCCCGUACAGGGGGAUAACACUUGUAAACAGUUGCUACUCCCGCAUCAGACCGCGGCCUCGCAUGGGGCUGCGGUUAAAGGAGCAGUCCGGUUGGGGGUGAUUUCGCGUCCGAUUAGCUAGUUGGGGGGGUAACGGUGCACAAAGGCGACGGUGGGUAGCCGGCCUGAGGGGGUGAACGGCCACAGUGGAACAGAGAGACGGUCCAAACCCCUACGAGGGGCAGCAGGGGGGAAUAUUGGGAAAUGGGCGAAAGCCUGGCCGAGAAACGCCGCGUGAGAGAAGAAGGUUUUCGGAGUGUAAACCUCUGGCCUAUGGGACGAAGGAAGUGACGGUAACAUAGGAGGAAGCCCCGGCUAACUACGUG
rnacentral:rRNA from 1 species